GAUUUCCUACGGGAGGCAGCAGUGGGGAAUAUUGCACAAUGGGCGCAAGCCUGAUGCAGCAACGCCGCGUGCGGGAUGACGGCCUUCGGGUUGUAAACCGCUUUUAGUAGGGAAGAAGGGCUUCGGCUUGACGGUACCUGCAGAAAAAGGACCGGCUAACUACGUGCAGCAGCCGCGGUAAUACGUAGGGUCCGAGCGUUGUCCGGAAUUAUUGGGCGUAAAGAGCUCGUAGGCGGUUUGUCGCGUCUGCUGUGAAAACUGGAGGCUCAACCUCCAGCCUGCAGUGGGUACGGGCAGACUUGAGUGGUGUAGGGGAGACUGGAAUUCCUGGUGUAGCGGUGGAAUGCGCAGAUAUCAGGAGGAACACCGAUGGCGAAGGCAGGUCUCUGGGCACUUACUGACGCUGAGGAGCGAAAGCGUGGGGAGCGAACAGGAUUAGAUACCCUGGUAGUCCACGCCGUAAACGUUGGGCGCUAGAUGUGGGGACCUUUCCACGGUUUCCGUGUCGUAGCUAACGCAUUAAGCGCCCCGCCUGGGGAGUACGGCCGCAAGGCUAAAACUCAAAGGAAUUGACGGGGGCCCGCACAAGCGGCGGAGCAUGCGGAUUAAUUCGAUGCAACGCGAAGAACCUUACCAAGGCUUGACAUAUACGAGAACGGGCCAGAAAUGGUCAACUCUUUGGACACUCGUAUACAGGUGGUGCAUGGUUGUCGUCAGCUCGUGUCGUGAGAUGUUGGGUUAAGUCCCGCAACGAGCGCAACCCUCGUCGCAUGUUGCCAGCACGUUAUGGUGGGGACUCAUGUGAGACUGCCGGGGUCAACUCGGAGGAAGGUGGGGAUGACGUCAAAUCAUCAUGCCCCUUAUGUCUUGGGCUUCACGCAUGCUACAAUGGCCGGUACAAAGGGCUGCGAUGUCGUAAGGCGGAGCGAAUCCCAAAAAGCCGGUCUCAGUUCGGAUUGAGGUCUGCAACUCGACCUCAUGAAGUCGGAGUCGCUAGUAAUCGCAGAUCAGCAACGCUGCGGUGAAUACGUUCCCGGGCCUUGUACACACCGCCAA
rnacentral:rRNA from 1 species